CCACAGAGUGCCUCUUCCUUCCCAGAUUCCUGCUUGUGACUCCAGCUGAGGGGACAGUGGCAGAGGUGAUGCCAAAGGAAGUGCCUGGUAUGUAGUUGGUGCACAAUAGAUGGUAGCUUUAGGAGGGUCAGCUUGGUUCUUGGAGGGAGUGUGGGGCUUUGGGCCUCGGUGUCUGCUGGCUGAAUUGGUUAUGGGGCUUUAGGCAGAGUGUUUGACCACCUUUGGGGGAGAUGAUGCUUAGGAAGUGGGGCACAGAGUGGUGGGGGGAGAGGAAGUGCCCCUGCAGAUCGUGAGCUGAGGGUCGGCAGUGGGCGGCCACCCACAGCCCAGGUGAGGUGCUGCUGGCAGCUGCUCUGCAGGAGGAGUGAUCAGGAGCCUCUUCUGAAAGAGUUGCGUCAAAGGAAAAGGAUUCACGGGAAAGCGGCGUCCUGUGUGCAGUUUUGCUCUUAAUGCCGCUGCCCGUGAUUCUGAGGAAUAUGAGAACUGUCGCGAGGCAC
rnacentral:lncRNA from 1 species